rnacentral:rRNA from 1 species
GACGAACGCUGGCGGCGUGCUUAACACAUGCAAGUCGACAUGAGUGGCGAUCGGGUGUGUAAUACGUGUGUAACCUGCCCUCCUUUUUGGGAUAAGCCUUGGAAACGGGGUAUAAUAUCGAACUUAGGGGGAUGGUCUCGCAGCCUAUCAGCUUGUUGGUGGGGUGGUGGCCUAGCAAGGCGGUGACGGGGAGAGGGCAUGAGGGGGUGACCGGCCACAUUGGGACUGAGGUACAGCCCAGACUCGUACGGGAGGCAACAGUGGGGGGUGUUGGACAAUGGGCGAAAGCCUGAUGGGGCGACGCCGCGUGGGGGAUGAAGGGUUUCGAGGUGUAAACCUCUUUCGCUAUCAAACGGGUAGGUAACGAAUAAGCGCCGGCUAACUACGUGCCAGCAGCCGCGGUAAUUC